GAGGACAGCAGAGGGCUAGGAGGCUCGGGC
rnacentral:piRNA from 1 species